rnacentral:rRNA from 1 species
GGGCCCGCACAAGCGGUGGAGCAUGUGGUUUAAUUCGAUGAUACGCGAGGAACCUUACCAGGACUUAAAUGUAAGUUGCAUGAUUCAGAAAUGGAUCUUUCUUCGGACUACUUACAAGGUGCUGCAUGGUUGUCGUCAGCUCGUGCCGUGAGGUGUCAGGUUAAGUCCUAUAACGAGCGCAACCCCUACCGUUAGUUGCCAGCGUGUAAUGACGGGGACUCUAACGGAACUGCCGGUGCAAACCGUGAGGAAGGUGGGGACGACGUCAAAUCAUCACGGCCCUUACGUCCUGGGCCACACACGUGCUACAAUGGCCGGUACAGAGAGCAGCCACUACGCGAGUAGGAGCGAAUCUUCAAAGCCGGUCUCAGUUCGGAUCGGAGUCUGCAACUCGACUCCGUG